rnacentral:rRNA from 1 species
GCCCUUCGGGGUACUCGAGCGGCGAACGGGUGAGUAACACGUGAGUAACCUGCCCCUGACUCUGGGAUAAGCCUGGGAAACCGGGUCUAAUACCGGAUACGACCAUUUCUCGCAUGGGAUGGUGGUGGAAAGUUUUUUCGGUUGGGGAUGGGCUCGCGGCCUAUCAGCUUGUUGGUGGGGUGAUGGCCUACCAAGGCGACGACGGGUAGCCGGCCUGAGAGGGCGACCGGCCACACUGGGACUGAGACACGGCCCAGACUCCUACGGGAGGCAGCAGUGGGGAAUAUUGCGCAAUGGGCGGAAGCCUGACGCAGCGACGCCGCGUGGGGGAUGACGGCCUUCGGGUUGUAAACCUCUUUCAGCAGGGACGAAGUUGACGUGUACCUGUAGAAGAAGCGCCGGCUAACUACGUGCCAGCAGCCGCGGUAAUACGUAGGGCGCGAGCGUUGUCCGGAAUUAUUGGGCGUAAAGAGCUCGUAGGUGGCUUGUCGCGUCUGCCGUGAAAGCCCGUGGCUUAACUACGGGUCUGCGGUGGAUACGGGCAGGCUAGAGGCUGGUAGGGGCAAGCGGAAUUCCUGGUGUAGCGGUGAAAUGCGCAGAUAUCAGGAGGAACACCGGUGGCGAAGGCGGCUUGCUGGGCCAGUUCUGACGCUGAGGAGCGAAA